AGAUUUUCCAACUAAAACAGCCUGACUGCAUCUAAUCAGAUGUAAAGUGCUCGGAGCAGCGUCAUCGUGGAGCAUCUCUAAGCUCAGGGCUGCAGACACAACACACCCAGAAUCCCUCCGCUGGGACUCAGGAGCAGAGAGUCAGACAGAGAUUUCACCUCAUUAACAACAAGAUUAUUUACAUUUAUGAGUCUUUAAGUCAGCAGAACCUCCUGAAGCUUCAGGUAAAUGUUUCACUAUUAAACAUUUCAUUUGAUAAA